rnacentral:sRNA from 1 species
GCCAAACUUAGAAGAAUUGAUUGUUUCAGAGAACAAUUUUGUAUCUAUCCCUUCGUGCAUCAAGCAAUGUGGUGACUGGACAAGUCUCGAUUUGAAUGGAAGCAAGAAGCUUAAAAAAAUUUCUGAACCCACUAGCUUGAGAAUUCUUGAUGUUCAUCAUUGUUUAGACCUUGAAGAAAUUUCAGAGUUACCGUCUACUGUUCAGAAAGUAGAUGCAAGAUUUUGUUUCAAGUUAACAAAAGAGACAUCAGACAUGCUAUGGUGUCAGGUGAAGAAAGGGGUAGGAGGAAUAGAAAUGGUGAUGCCAUUUUUAACUGAGAUUCCAGAAUGGUUUAACUUUGUGGGGGUGGGAAGGAUUCCUCGUUUCUGGGUUCGUGGCAAGUUCCCUAAGAUUGUUGUAGCGAUGAUCUUCCACUUCCAAAAUGAGAGUCAAAGGGACAGAUAUGAUGGUCGUGGCCUUGUUGAUCUGCGUUUACUAAUCAACGGGCGAUAUGCUCCUCGAAAAGGGUAUCGGAACUUUAGAAUUGAGGCAGAGCACAUCUUGUUGUGUGAUGUAGGAGUUUUGUGCAGCGAGAAAGAGUGGGUUGGCAAUGCAGUUAUGGAGCAUGAGUGGAAUCUGGUGCAGGUUUCGUAUGAUGCGACGUCGUCGUUGAUGAUAAGUGGUUGGGGAGCGUUUGUGUUUGAAGAAGGAACGAAUAUGGAAGAUCUCCUGUUCGCCAGUCCCAAUAACUUGAUUUUGAACGGAGAUUCAACCUCUGUCCAUAAGGGAAGUUUGGAGGACGACGAAA